rnacentral:rRNA from 1 species
CCUACGGGUGGCAGCAGUGAGGAAUAUUGGUCAAUGGACGCAAGUCUGAACCAGCCAUGCCGCGUGCAGGAAGACGGCUCUAUGAGUUGUAAACUGCUUUUGUACGAGGGUAAACGCAGAUACGCGUAUCUGUCUGAAAGUAUCGUACGAAUAAGGAUCGGCUAACUCCGUGCCAGCAGCCGCGGUAAUACGGAGGAUUCAAGCGUUAUCCGGAUUUAUUGGGUUUAAAGGGUGCGUAGGUGGUCGGAUAAGUUAGAGGUGAAAGUCCGAGGCUCAACUUCGGAAUUGCCUCUGAUACUGUUAGGUUAGAGAGUAGUUGCGGUAGGCGGAAUGUAUGGUGUAGCGGUGAAAUGCUUAGAGAUCAUACAGAACACCGAUUGCGAAGGCAGCUUACCAAGCUACUUCUGACGUUGAGGCACGAAAGCGUGGGGAGCAAACAGGAUUAGAUACCCUAGUAGUC